GACGAACGCUGGCGGCGUGCUUAACACAUGCAAGUCGAACGGAAAGGCCCUGCUUUUGUGGGGUGCUCGAGUGGCGAACGGGUGAGUAACACGUGAGUAACCUGCCCUUGACUGUGGGAUAACUUCAGGAAACUGGGGCUAAUACCGGAUAGGAGCUCCUGCUGCAUGGUGGGGGUUGGAAAGUUUCGGCGGUUGGGGAUGGACUCGCGGCUUAUCAGCUUGUUGGUGGGGUAGUGGCUUACCAAGGCUUUGACGGGUAGCCGGCCUGAGAGGGUGACCGGCCACAAUGGGACUGAGAUACGGCCCAGACUCCUACGGGAGGCAGCAGUGGGGAAUAUUGCACAAUGGGCGGAAGCCUGAUGCAGCAACGCCGCGUGCGGGAUGACGGCCUUCGGGUUGUAAACCGCUUUCGCCUGUGACGAAGCGUGAGUGACGGUAAUGGGUAAAGAAGCACCGGCUAACUACGUG
rnacentral:rRNA from 1 species